GGGAAACGGGAAGCGGGGCCAGUCCCUGGCCCCAAUAUCAAAUGGGACA
rfam:Pongo abelii chromosome 4.